UGGGGAAUUUUGGACAAUGGGGCGAAANCCUGAUCCAGCAAUGCCGCGUGUGUGAAAGAAGGCCCUUCGGGUUGUAAAGCACUUUUGUCCGGAAAGAAAUCCUUGGCUCUAAUACAGUCGGGGGAUGACGGUACCGGAAGAAUAAGCACCGGCUAACUACGUGCCAGCAGCCGCGGUAAUACGUAGGGUGCAAGCGUUAAUCGGAAUUACUGGGCGUAAAGCGUGCGCAGGCGGUUUGCUAAGACCGAUGUGAAAUCCCCGGGCUCAACCUGGGAACUGCAUUGGUGACUGGCAGGCUAGAGUAUGGCAGAGGGGGGUUAGAAUUCCACGUGUAGCAGUGAAAGUGCGUAGAGAUGUGGAGGAAUACCGAUGGCGAAGGCAGCCCCC
rnacentral:rRNA from 1 species